GGCUUGAAAUGCAGGUGCAGCUGGACUUUUAUCUGAGCUAAAAGCAUAUCUAUUUAGUCCUCGUCAAACAGGAUUAUUACUAUGCUGCAGGCUAACAUAAAGGAUAAUUGUCCUCAUUGCUGACUGAUGCAGGAUUUUACGACACUUUAUGUGUUGUUCAACUCGAUCUCAAAUCAAGUAAGACUACCCGCUGAACUUAA
rnacentral:misc_RNA from 1 species